UGUAAGUGCUUGAAGUUCUGGCCAUCCUUUUGUUGCUGAUUGAGCUUCUUCAUUGAUUGGCAGUGGUAUUGGAUCUUUUCUUUGAAAAAAUUAGAGUGUUUCAAGCAGGCUUUAUGAUAUGAAUACAUUAGCAUGGAAUAAUAAUUUAGGACUUCGGUUCUAUUUUGUUGGUUUCUAGGACUGAAGUAAUGAUUGAUAGGGACAGUUGGGGGUGCUAGUAUUCAGCGGCCAGAGGUGAAAUUCUCGGAUUCGCCGAAGACUAACUUAUGCGAAAGCAUCCACCAAGGAUGUCUUCUUUAAUCAAGAACGAAAGUUGGGGGAUCGAAGACCGAUCAGAUACCGUCGUAGUCUCAACCAUAAACUAUGCCGUCUAG
rnacentral:rRNA from 1 species